rnacentral:tRNA from 1 species
GAUUAAGAAUUAAGUUAUUGAGUUCAAUUUCGGCUUGAAAGUAGGUUUUGAUUAACCCUUAAUUA